rnacentral:rRNA from 1 species
CUUGCACAGGUGCUGCAUGGCUGUCGUCAGCUCGUGUCGUGAGAUGUUCGGUUAAGUCCGCUAACGAGCGCAACCCUCGCUGUGUGUUAUAUGUGUCACACGGGACUGCCGGUCUUAAGCCGGAGGAAGGUGGGGAUGAUGUCAAGUCAGCAUGGCCUUUAUAUCCUGGGCUACACACACGCUACAAUGGCCAACACAAUAGGUUGCUAAGCCGCGAGGUGGCGCCAAUCCAUAAAGUUGGUCUCAGUUCAGAUUGUAGGCUGCAACCCGCCUGCAUGAAGAUGGAGUUGCUAGUAACCGCAGGUCAGCUAUACUGCGGUGAAUACGUUCCCGGGGCUU